GCGUCGGCAGUGCGACGGUUCAGCACGCUCUCCCGGAUAGGGUAAGAUCUGGGUUCGAAUCCCAGAUGACGCA